CCUACGGGAGGCAGCAGUAGGGAAUCUUUCACAAUGGGCGAAAGCCUGAUGGAGCAACGCUGCGUGCAGGAUGAAGGCCUUCGGGUUGUAAACUGCUUUUAUAAGCGAGAAAUAUGAUGGUAACUUAUGAAUAAGGAUCGGCUAACUACGUGCCAGCAGCCGCGGUCAUACGUAGGAUCCGAGCAUUAUCCGGAGUGACUGGGUGUAAAGAGUUGCGUAGGUGGCAUAAUAAGUAGCUAGUGAAAUCUGGUGGCUCAACAAUUCAGACUAUUAGCUAAACUGUUAAGCUCGAGACCGUUAGGGGUAACUGGAAUUUCUAGUGUAGGAGUGAAAUCCGUAGAUAUUAGAAGGAACACCAAUAGCGUAGGCAGGUUGCUGGGACGGUUCUGACACUAAGGCACGAAAGCGUAGGGAGCAAACGGGAUUAGAUACCCCUGUAGUC
rnacentral:rRNA from 1 species